AAGACGGACAGGAUGGACUUUUCUUAUAACUGGGGGGUUUGUAGACAGACUAGAGACACAUAUUAGUGUUGGACAAACAUAGUAGAGUGUGUUUUGUAUAAUAUGUGACCUUUAAAUUUAAUUCAGAUAGUGCAGAUGUGCAUUGAGAUUAAAGAAGGACUCCAACAUUAUCUAUAUUAUUUUAGUCCUACAAUCCUGGUUCUGUAUAUAAAUCUCAUUUCCUAUGCAAAUCUCAGUAAUCGCAAGAAACAAGUGUUUUUUCUCUCAUCACAUUAACACUUAUUCUUCAUGUAAUUUGUAGGCAAAAAAUAUUUUAACGUUUAAUUAUUGAUCUUUUUUUUUCAGGCUUUUCUGGGUGGAGCCAAAUGAUGAUCUGUUGUUUUGCCCUCGGGAUUAGUUUCGUGAGGGUCACUAUCUGGGGCCGCCUUUGUAGCCUUUACAGACGCAUUUGCAGUUGGAUGUGACUUUCUCGCUCCAUGUCCUAUUGUUUACGGCUUUUCUGGGUGGAGCCAAGGGAAGAUCUGUUGUUUUGCCCUCGGGAUUAUACUCGUGGGGGUACUGAUCAUUCUGUUAGCCGUGCUUUCUAUCCUGAAUAAGUAAAGUCGAGUAAAGGCCGUCACUAACCGAGAGUUAACCAUCUGUUUACUCUCACAAUCGAUUAACCUUGAAGUAUUAGGGUGACACAUUAAUGAGUAAUGUAAUGCAUGUGAAUCAUCUUAAGAAUAUAUAAUUACAGCUGGAUAUUAAUGUAUUGCUGUAGUGAAGUUUAUUGGAUAAUACAGAUGUUAAAGUUUGUAAUCUUUCGAUCACUAAUCUUUUAUGGGAAGAGAAAUAAAGAAUGCUGUAACCACCUUCUCCAGUCCACUUGUGCCGACAGGAGGAGGUUCACUUGUGUUGUAAGGUUGUUUGUUUCCUUCAGCAGUUGGGUUUUUAAAUAAACUGUAGGCAUUGCUGCCUGUACACUUUCACUGUG